GACGAACGCUGGCGGCGUGCCUAAUACAUGCAAGUCGAACGCUUCUUUUUCCACCGGAGCUUGCUCCACCGGAAAAAGAGGAGUGGCGAACGGGUGAGUAACACGUGGGUAACCUGCCCAUCAGAAGGGGAUAACACUUGGAAACAGGUGCUAAUACCGUAUAACAAUCGAAACCGCAUGGUUUUGAUUUGAAAGGCGCUUUCGGGUGUCGCUGAUGGAUGGACCCGCGGUGCAUUAGCUAGUUGGUGAGGUAACGGCUCACCAAGGCCACGAUGCAUAGCCGACCUGAGAGGGUGAUCGGCCACAUUGGGACUGAGAACCGGCCCAAACUCCUACGGGAGGCAGCAGUAGGGAAUCUUCGGCAAUGGACGAAAGUCUGACCGAGCAACGCCGCGUGAGUGAAGAAGGUUUUCGGAUCGUAAAACUCUGUUGUUAGAGAAGAACAAGGAUGAGAGUAACUGUUCAUCCCUUGACGGUAUCUAACCAGAAAGCCACGGCUAACUACGUGCCAGCCGCCGCAGUAA
rnacentral:rRNA from 1 species